rnacentral:rRNA from 1 species
GGGGAAUUAGGGUUCGAUUCCGGAGAGGGAGCCUGAGAAACGGCUACCACAUCUAAGGAAGGCAGCAGGCGCGCAAAUUACCCAAUCCUAAUACAGGGAGGUAGUGACAAGAAAUAACAAUACAGGACUUUUUGGUUUUGUAAUUGGAAUGAGUUAAGUAUAAACCCCUUUACAAGUAUCAAUUGGAGGGCAAGUCUGGUGCCAGCAGCCGCGGUAAUUCCAGCUCCAAUAGCGUAUAUUAAAGUUGUUGCAGUUAAAAAGCUCGUAGUUGGAUUUCUGUUAAUAAUUUGUAUAAAAUAUUUUGAUGAAUAUUUAUAUAAUAUUAACAUAAUUCAUAUUACUAUAUAUUUUAGUAUAUGAAAUUUUACUUUGAGAAAAUUAGAGUGCUUAAAGCGGGCAUAUGCCUUGAAUACUCCAGCAUGGAAUAAUAUUAAAGAUUUUUAUCUUUUUUAUUGGUUCUAAGAUAAGAAUAAUGAUUAAUA